rnacentral:rRNA from 1 species
GACGAACGCUGGCGGCGUGCUUAACACAUGCAAGUCGAACGGAAAGGCCCUGCUUGCAGGGUACUCGAGUGGCGAACGGGUGAGUAACACGUGGGUGAUCUGCCCUGCACUUCGGGAUAAGCCUGGGAAACUGGGUCUAAUACCGGAUAGGAGCCAUUUUUAGUGUGAUGGCUGGAAAGUUUUUUCGGUGUAUGAUGAGCUCGCGGCCUAUCAGCUUGUUGGUGGGGUAAUGGCCUACCAAGGCGGCGACGGGUAGCCGGCCUGAGAGGGUGGACGGCCACAUUGGGACUGAGAUACGGCCCAGACUCCUACGGGAGGCAGCAGUGGGGAAUAUUGCACAAUGGGCGCAAGCCUGAUGCAGCGACGCCGCGUGGGGGAUGACGGCCUUCGGGUUGUAAACUCCUUUCGCUAGGGACGAAGCUUUUUGUGACGGUACCUAGAUAAGAAGCACCGGCUAACUACGUG